UGGACCGCAUUUCCUUAUAAAUGGUGUGAUUAGAAGACCACAGAGAAAGAUGUAAAACUACCAUCUCUCUCGAUCCUCUAAGUUUUCAUUUCAUCCCCUCUCUAUUUCUCCAACACUGACAAGCUAUCUCCCUGCAAAUUCGUCUAGGUAUAUUUCUUGAGGAGUUUUGAGCUCUAUCAAGUAUGGCGACAAACAUAGUCGCCAAUAUUCAUUUUCUAUCGGAUCUUCCUCUUCUUUGACUCACUAUAGAAUUUCAAUGUCAAUCUCUGACGGAUAUUUCUUCACCACACAAUGCAUUAGAACUGGAGAGUUGCCCAAUGGUUUAUGUGAUGUAAUUAUUAUUAUUUUUUUUUUAGAAAGUACUAUGGUUCAUGUGGACCAUGUGGAUGUAUGUACUUGAACAGCCGACUAGAAUCGGGGAGUUACCAUAUGGUUUAUGUGAUAUAAUUAUUUUUUUGAGAAA